AAAGAUUUAAUCCGAGAUAAAGUGAAUGCGUUAGCCCAUCAGAGUAUAGAGAAAUGACAAAGAAACUAAUCUCUACAAUUCCUAUUUUUGUGGUCGUUGUUUAAUAGAGAUCUGCCUGAUCACAAAAGCAAUAAAAUACUUAAUAUUUGAGCUCUACAUUCAGAUACUAACUUCCAAACUCAAUUACCAAGAAAUGGAGCACAAAUCUUCAAACUAACUCAAACUCAGAAUCAUUUGAAGGACACUGACCCUUCAAUCGCUUAACAGGUAAACCCAAUCAUCAAUUACAUAAAUUGCUGCUAACUAAUAUGUGGAAGCAAUUGAAUCCUACAAAAAAAAAAAAAAACUGGAAAUGAUGAAUAAGAGAGACUGAAAAUGAUGAUUGUUACCAGAUUUGGGAGUGAUCCAAGCACAUCUCUUACGACCAUCAGAGAAGCAAUCACCGGCCUUCUCAUCUCUCUCCUCCGUCAGAUUCCUUCUCAGUGAAGAUGAAGAGUUUGACCCACUCCGCCGCAAAACCCUCUUCCCGCUCGAAGUAGACG
rnacentral:lncRNA from 1 species